UGGCCCAUCGGGGCAAUGGAUACCUGCUUAAAAAAAAUUUUU
rnacentral:ncRNA from 1 species